rnacentral:rRNA from 1 species
CAAACAGUAAUUCAAAGGGGUUAUUAAGGAAAAACUAGCAAAUUUAUAAAAAAGGAGGGCACAAGUCCAAAAGCCACAAUUUACCGAAAGGUGAUCAAGUUUCAUUAGAUUUAUUUAAUGUUGACAAAGAAUGUAGGCGAUCCUAAGGGAAACCUUUAUAUUUAAACUUCCCGAAGUAAAACAUUUCAUUAGGGAAAGGAAAGGAAAUCAACCGAGACUCCGAAAGUAAUGGCGAGUGAAAUCGGACCAGCCUUUAUUUAAAAAAUAAAUUUAACAAAAAUACACACCAGAAACCAAAGAAGGUAAAAUAGUCCUGUAUGUUAAAUCUUUUUAAAACUAAUAUUUAAAUAAGUAUUAUUAAAUUAAAAUUUAUUUAAAUAAUGAGUACGACGAGAGUGAACUUGUCGGAAUAUAGGGGAACCAUCCUCUAAGGCUAAGUAUUUAUAAAUUUAGCGAUAGUGAAAAGUACCGUGAGGGAAAGUUUGAAAUAGUUAUGUAUUUUUAGACAUAAAUGAAAUAGUUGAAUUAGUAACUCUAUAAGCAGUCGAAAUUUAUAAUUAUAAAUGACGGCGUACCUUUUGCAUAAUGGGUCAGCAAGUUAAUAGGAGUAGCAAGGUUUAAAGCCUUAGUGAAAGCGACCACACUAACUAGCUAAAAGUAUUCUUAAUUUCAUAGAUAUUAAGAAUAGGAUAUCCUUCAUAGUCAUAAGGCUAAGAAGUUAAAUAUUUUCUAGGAAUAUAGUGAUGGGUAAGUUACUUCUAUUAGACCCGAAGCUGAUAUGUGUUUUGGGAAAACACUAAAUUGGCUGAAACUACCAAACUCCGGGGACUCCCUAAAGCUUAUGGUACCAAGCUAUCUUCGAAAGAUUAUAAGUGGCCAGAAUAAUUACCUGGGUACGGUAACAAGUCAUAAGAUGAAGGAAACUGAAAUGGGAUAUCGCGGAUCUAAAUCAAUAUUGAAUAAUAUUGUAAAAGAGCAACGAGUAGACGGUAGUUAUUGCAUUAAAAAAGCCAAAUCCAGACAAAUGCAAUUAAGGUGUACUCUAAUGGGUUUCGAAAGAAAUUAUCAAGUCAAAAUCCCUUCUAACCAAUUAAAUUAUUUUUCUACUUUACAUUCUUUAAAAAGAUUAAAUCCAUGGUUUGUAACUGGACUUGCAGACUCAGAAGGUACAUUUACUGUAAUGAUUGAUCAAAAUCAAAAACGUACACUGGGUUGGCGUGUUCAAGCUAAAUUUCAAAUUGGACUACAUGAACGAGAUUUAGCCUUAUUGUUACAAGUACAGCAAUUUUUUGGGGGUAUUGGGUCAAUAGGUCAAAGUGGAAGUAUGGUAUUUUAUUCAGUAUCUAGUGUUAAAGAUUUAACAAAUACUAUAAUACCACAUUUUUUAAAAUAUACUUUAUUAACUCAAAAAGCCGCAGAUUUUUUACUGUUCAAAACCAUAGUGUAUCUAAUAAAUAAUAAAGUCCAUCUAACAAUUGAAGGAUUAAAUCAAAUAAUUAAUAUAAAAGCCUCUAUGAAUACAGGUCUUUCUCAAAUUGUAAAAUCAAAUUUUAAUAACAUUGUUCCGGUUAAGAGACCCAAUGUAAAUACUGACAAUAUCCCGGAUCCUCAAUGGAUAACAGGGUUUGUAAAUGGAGAGGGAACUUUUGAUAUAAAAAUAUAUAGUUCAAAAACUAAAACCGGAUAUGCCGUUCAAUUAAGAUUUAGAAUACCGCAACAUGAAAGAGAUACUAAAUUAAUAGAGUUAAUAAUUAAAUAUUUUGGUUCAGGUAAAAUAGAAAAACAUACUCAAUUUCCAUCUGUAACUUUAGUUAUAGUUAAAUUUUCAGAUCUAAUUGAAAAAGUUAUACCUUUUUUUGAAUUAUAUCCUCUUAUUGGUAUAAAACAAAAUGAUUUUUUAGAUUGGUGUAAUGCAGCAAAACUAAUUACCGAUGGAUCACAUCUAACAAUUGAAGGAUUAAAUUUAAUUCGAAUAAUUAAAGAGGGAAUGAAUAAAGGUAGAACCAAAAAAUAAUUUAAUUGCAUGAUAAAUUUGAUCUCCAUGAGGUGAUCUUCCUAAGACCAGAUUAUAAUGGAUCGAACGGGUGAAUGUAGCAAAAUUCUCCGAAGAGUUUUAGGAAGCGGUGAAAUGCCAAUCUGACCUAGUGAUAGCUGGUUUUCUACGAAACAUAUGUAAGUAUGACAUCUAAACAAAAUUUAUGGUGGUACAGCACUGAGUUCCCAACUAUUUCUUUUUAAAAGAAAAGUUUAGGUUGCGGGGACGUCGAAAAUCUUACCAAUGGAAGAGAAUCUCGGAAUGACAUAAAUUGAUGUUAGAUAUUCAGACUGCUCAUGCGAAGUUGGGUAGUCAAGACGGAAACAGCCGAGAACACGAAACAAGGUCCCAAAUGAUUUUUAAGUGAAAUGAAGGAAGUAAUAUAUUGAAUGCAGCUGUAAAGUGAGCCUAAACCAUAGGACUACUGGGCUCAUCACAAAAACCGAGCUAUUUGCAAGGAACCCCUAAAGCUUUAAGUACUCAUCUAAAGAUAGUAACAAUCUUAAAGAUACAACAAUGGGUAAUUUGCAGGAAACCAAAUAUAAUUUAUAUUAUAAAGUAGGAUCCUCAACGACUAUACGCUUGGAAUAAUUAACUAAAUAUUAAUUAUUGUGACAUAGUCUAAACAAUUCUCGAAAGAAAUUGAAUAGGGUCGAGAAAGGAACGGCCUUCCUAUAAAUCAUUUUUGUAUCUCUUUUGGUAAAGUUAAAUAGUAAUUAGAAAAGCCGUUGGUUCUGCUUUUCACUAAGAGGGCUAGUACCCCAAACUUAAGUUAAAAUAAUGAAAAAUAACUUCUACCUACAAAAAUAAAAAAUUAAUUAAAGCAAACUACAGAAACAAUGAAUUUGAAGAACCAAGUUAACAAUAAUUUUAUUAUGAGUUCAGGUUAUAUAAGUGGAUUAACUCAAACAGAUGGUUCCUUUUUUUGUUCUGUCAUAAUCUCUCCUAAACAUAGAUUUGGUAUUCAAUUUAGACCUAAAUUUACUAUAACUGCAGAUUUAGAUUCUAAAUAUGUCUUAGAUAGUAUCCAAUCAUUUUUUAAUUGUGGUAAUGUCACCGUUAAUAAUAAAAAUCAUACUGCUGAAUUUGAAGUAGUAAGAAUAGAAGAACUUUAUAAUAUUAUUAUUCCUCAUUUUUUAAAUUAUCCGGUAUUUUGUGCCAAAUUAAAUGCAUUUAAUUUAUUUAAAGAAAUAGUAAUUGCUUUAUUUAAUAAAGACAAAAGAACGAUAGAAGGAAGAGUAGAAUUAUUAAAGUUAGCUUUAUCUAUGAAUAUUACUACAAAUAGAACAGAAGAAAGAAUAGAUUAUCUAUUUUCUUUAUUAGGGGUAACAGAUCCUGGAGAUAAAGUUUUAUUUUUAAAUGAUAAAACAGAAUUAACUAGUCCUUUAUCUAAUGAACAUAUCUCAGGUAUAAUAGAUGGGGACGGAUCUUUUUUUAUUUCUUUUCUAAAGAAUGGAGAAAUUAAAACUGGGUUUAAUAUAACUAGUGAUAAAGCUUCUAAAUCUUUAUUAGAAAGUAUUAAAAAACAAUUAAAAAAUAUAGGUUCUAUCCAUGAAGGUUCUAAAAAUGAAUUGGUAUAUACAGUUAAUGGUAUAAAUCAGAUUAAUGAUGUUUUAAUACCAUUUAUGGUUAAUAAUCCAAUCUUUUCAGAAAGAGCUUUACAUUAUGAAAAAUUUAAAACUGUUAGUUUAAAGUUAAAUCACGAAAAACCUUUAACUUUAGAUAGUAAGUUAAAAAUAGUUGAGUUAUGUUAUGACAUGAAUAAAAAAGGAAAACAUAGAAAUUUAAGUAAAACACAAUAUAUAGAAAUACUUAAAAAUGAACAUAAUAUAAUAAAAUAGGGAUUUAAAUAAAAUAUAUUUAAAAUUUCCCCUUAGUUUGUUUUAAUUAAUAACAAAGAUAGCUAUAGGACAUUGGGUAGUCGCUAUCUUUUAAUAAACGUAAUGUAACAACGUAGCAGCCUUAUACAAUAGAAUAUUACACCAAAAAUUUAACGGGUCUCAAAAAAUCAACCGAUAUCGUGUUUAUUUUGAAUAAUAAAAAUUAAUAUUCAAGAUACAGGUAGUAGAACAUUCAGUAUACUGAUGAUAAAACAGUGUUUCAUUGUUUUUAGGUCACUGAAGAGAGAAUGCUGACAUGAGUAACGUAAAAAGAAGUUAUAAUACUUCUCGCCGAAUACGAAAGGGUUGUAAGGAAAGGUUAAACCACCUUAUGUUAAUGCGGCCUCUAAGGAACAAAACCAAAGUUUUGUCUGAUGAGUAUGAAUUAGAAAGUCCAUUUUUAAUACGAAAAGGGACCAGGAAAAGAAUAUAUUCAUAACUACCGUACCCUAAACCGACACAGGUUCGUAAGUAGAGUAUACUAAGGCGUAGAGCUAAAAGUUGUUAAGGAACUCGGCAAGUUCUCCUCAUAAGUUUGACGAUAAGAGGAACCCUUUUAAAGGGUGGCACAAAAUCGGAGGCCCCGACUGUUUACUAAAAACACAAUUCAGAGCAAUGAUGAAAAAUCAUAGUAUUCUGGAUGAAAUUUGCCCAAUGCCAUUAACAUAAAAGAGGUUAUGGGUAACUGUAACUAAUUGAAAGUCUGGUUAAUAGCGGUCUUAACUAUGAGGAUCCAAAGGUAGCAAAAUAAAUUGGCCAUUAAAUGUGGUCUGGUAUCAAUAGUGUAACGAUGGUCUCACUGUCUCUACAACUUGCUCAGUGAAAUUGAAUUACCCGUGCAGAUGCGGGUUGCCUCCAGGUGGACGGGAAACUUAAAUUAUAUCUGGAAUAAGAUAAAAAUGCGACUAGCUAAGUUUACUAUAAUAAUGUUGUGUAAACCAACCAGAUAACCCAUUAUCUGAGCUCAAACAGCAUGUUUUCGGAGUAAUCCUAAAUCAUGAAGCCUGUUUAUAUGUGAUUAUUCAAUAUGGGAAAAUUAAUUAAAUUGAAUAUCUCAUAUAAGAGCUAGAUACCUAUGAACAAUGUAAUGUGAAUUCACGUCAGAAGCGGUAUGAUAGAUUGUAGAAAUACGUUCCCGUGUUUUUCUUAAUGGGUCUAAAUAUCUCAUAACGUAUAGUGGAGUUCUAAGGGUAUCAUUAAGGUAUUAUAGUAAAAACUAGGUAAGCCCAAUAAUAACCAAUUUACAAGAAUUAGUAAUUGGAGGUUUAUCUGCGAAGAUAAAUAACUGUUAGUGGGUAUAGGAAAUUCAAAAAAGCUAAAGCCUUGUUGUAAUGACAAGGAUAGGUUCGGUUGAACUAAUCUGAAAGGAUGCAGACUUUGAAUUAGUGUAAAGUGAUAAUUGUUAAAAUUUUUAUUUGAAGUAAUUGUUCAAUGAUAAAAUUAAAUUCAUUCUAACUCCAGUUUCAAUUAAUCCAGAGUAGGUUAAUUCUACACCAAUGUAUUUAGUAUGCUAAUAACAUAUUUAAAUUAAAAAACUAUGGAUAUGAUGAAUAGAAAUUUUACUAAACCUAAUCAAAUUUUAAUACCUUGGCAGGUAACAGGAUUAACAGAUGGUGAAGGAUCAUUUGUUUAUUCUAUAACUAAAACAGGUAAAGGCUUAACAGGUCAAAAAAUAAGUUUAGAAUUUAAAGUAACACAAAAAACACAUUCAGAAGGAGUACUUUAUGAACUUAAAGAAUAUUUUGGGUGUGGUAAUGUAGUUAUAGAUAAUAGAAAAACAGAUACUAAAAAAUUUCAUAUUAAUUCUUUAAAACUUCUUUUAGAAAAAGUAAUACCUCAUUUUGAUGAGUAUCCUUGUCUUACUUCUAAAGAAUUAAAUUAUAAAGAUUGGAAAAAAAUUUGUCUAAUCAUGAAUAAAAAAGAACAUCUAAGUAUCUCGGGAAUGGAAGAAAUAAAUCAAAUAGUUUCACUAAUGAAUAAAAAUAGAUCUUUUGAAGAUAAAUAUAAUCACUGUAAAUCUUUUUUAGGUUUAUCUGGUUUAGAAGUAAAAUAUAAUUUACCUCCUCAUUGGAUACAAGGAUUUUUAACAGGUGAAGGUUUCUUUUAUCAUUAUUUAAAUGGAACUAUUAUUAAUCCAUCUCUUGAAUUAGGACAAAAUAGUCAUGAUGUAGCUAUUUUAAUAGCUCUUAAAAAAUUUUUCAAUGGAGGUUAUCUUAAACCUAAAUAUAAUUUUAAUGAUUUAGAAGAAUGUAAAAAUUCAAGAUCUCUAAAUAGAUUUAUUUUAAGGGAUACGGAAACUAUUAUCCAAUUUGUAGAUCAAUAUCCUAUGUUAACUAGAAAACAUCUAGAUUACGUAGAUUGGAAAAAAGUUGUAGUCUUAAAAAAUAAAGGUUUACAUAAAACCGAAGAAGGAUUAGCUUUAAUAAAUGAAAUAGUAUCAAAAAUGAAUUCUAAACGUGACUAGAAUACUUAGCUUAAAAUUUUAAACAAUUAAAAUAAACUUUAUGCUUGAGCUGUAUGCGAUGAAAGUCGCACGUACAGUUCUUAGAGGAUGUCAAAGUUGUAAAACUUGGCGGAGCCUCAACAGACCCUAUGCAGCUUUACUGUAGUUAGCUAUCAUAUUGAUCUACAACAACCUUGGUUAAUAGUAAUUAGGGAUGUCGAUUGACGAAAGAUGGAAUACCUUCUGACUUUGGUUGGGUUAAUAUUUACCUUUUUAAGUCAUAUAUCAUAUAAUGACUCAAAAUUUUCUUUUGUUUAUUAUAUUCAUAUUUUGUUAUAUAGUGUUAUAUUAUAUCAAGCUUAUAAGGGAUAGGUGGCUAAUUGGCAGUUUGACUGGGGCGGUCGUCUUUGAUAAAGUAGCAAAGUACAUCCAAAGAUAUUUAUUUAUUAGAAACAAUCUUUUUUUUUUUUAAAAAGAUACUAACUAAAAAAUCAUAGUAUCUGUAUAAACUAUGAAGAAUAUAAUUUAUUAUAUUUUUAUUAACUUAAGGUAUAGCUAGAAAAUUGAAUGGAAAUCAAUCAACCAGUGUGAAAGGUUGUAAUCGGCGUAAUGGCGGAAAGCAUGCCUAACUGAAAGACUUAGAAGUCGAACAGAUACGUAAGUAGGGCAUAGUGACCCUUCGCUAUAUUAUGGAAUAGACGGGGAUCAAUCGAUAAAAGUUACGCUAGGGAUAAAUUGUUGUCCCUAAUACUUAUAAAAGUAAAAACACUGGGUUAAUUGCAAGGACUACUUAAAACUUUUAAAAUAAAUUAAGUUAAUUUGCAGCGAAGCUCAUUUCGGCAUCACUUAUUUCAUUAUUUAAGUGUGAAGUGAGAACGUUCAACGACUAGAAAGUGAGUAAUGCUAAACAAUAAUCUUUCCAAGAGCGCCCAGCGUCUCUAUUACUUUUCUUUUCAUAUUACAUGUUCCCAAAGGAAAAAUAUUUAAAUUUAAAAUGAAUAAAAACCUAUUAAUAGGACUAAGUCCAAAUAGCAAAUUAAUUAAAGAGUAUAAAAAAUCUUUAACUUCUUUAACCACUCUUCAAUGGGAGGCUUCAAUAGGUUUAAUGCUAGGUGACGCUAGUCUCCAAACUCAAAAUAAAGGUAAAACUUAUAGAAUGAAAUUUGAAUGGGGUGAUAAAUCUAAACCCUAUUUAAUUCAUGUCUAUAAUUUAUUUGAUGAAUGGGUAUUAUCUAAUCCUCAUAAAAAAUCUAGAUUAAGCCCCAAAGGAAAUCUAGUGGUAAAUUGGGGUUUUCAAACUAUUAGUCAUGAAGCUUUUAAUCCUUUAGCUAAAUUAUUUCUUAAUAAUAGCAAAAAAGGAAUAUUAGAUUCAUUAAUAAUGAAUUAUUUAACUGAAAGAGGUUUAGCUUAUUGGUUCAUGGAUGAUGGGGGUAAAUUAGAUUAUAAUAAAAAUUCUAAAAUAGAAGUAUUGUUUUAAAUACUCAAAGUUUCACAGAACAAGAAGUUGAAAUAAUGUCAAAAGAAUUAAUGGCAAAAUUUCACUUUGAAUGUGAAUUAAGAACAAAUAAAUCUAAAAAAGUUAUUGUUAUAAGUAAUAAUAGCUAUCCGUUAUUUUAUGAAUUAGUAAGUCCUCAUAUUAUACCUGAAAUGAUAUAUAAGCUUCCACAAUUAUAGGAAAGGAAGAAAGAAAAGACUAAAGAGAUGAUGACAUAGUCUGAACCAUUCUGUGAAGAAUGGAUGUAAAGAAUAAAAAAUCUUUACGCUAACAUAUUUUGAACAGGCUGAUAGCUGGUGAGAGUACACAUUGUCCCGGCUGUUUGGCACCUUAAAUACAUUGGGGAGUAUAAAUAGAAAUAAUUAUAUAGUAAUUGGCUAUAUGCUGAAACACCCUAAAGCUUUAAGUACUCAUUUAUUUUUAAUAAUAAAUUGUAAUAAUCUUAAUGAUUGGGCAAUCAGCAGGGAAGUUACUUAUUUAGGUUAUAGCAACUGUAAAAUCUGUAACCCCUCAACGACUACACGCCAACAUCCAGUAGCUACAUAAAGGUAUUCUUAUGCAGGAUGAAGAUAUAGUCUAAUCUUAAUUGAAAAAUUAAGCUCUCAAUCCUAUUAAUAAUAAAGGUAAGAGGGGGUAUCUAUUUAUAUAUUUAGAUACUAAUAUUGCGAUGUCGACUCAACCUAUCCUCCGGGGGUAGAAGCUUGGAAGGGUUCGGCUGUUCGCCGAUUAAAAGGUUACGCGAGUUGGGUUUAAUAGUUAACAAGUAAUAAGCACGUAGUAUAAAUAAUUAUGUUAAUAACACAGCGUAUAUAUAACAUAUUAAAAGAGUAUGUAAUAAAUUAAUUACAUAUGUUAGACACUAUCAAAAUAAAAAUUCCAAAUUAUAUGGAAAACAGUAAUACUUUACCAAAAUAUCUUCAUGAUGUUUUAAUUGGAUUAAUGUUGGGGGACGGUUAUUUAUAUAAAACUUCUCAGACAAGUAAUAGUAGAUUUGAAAUGAGUUUUGGAACAGAUAGAGUAAGUUUUGCUGAAUGGGUCGGUAAUCUAUUUAAAGAUUAUUCUAGUACUGGAAUUAUAAAAGUUUAUUAUAAAAAGGGAACACCUUUCUCUAAAUUUAAUUAUAGAUUCAAAACUAAAACAUUACCUAUUUUUAAUUUUUACCAUGAUCUUUUUUAUAUAAAAAAUGAAGUCACUUUGAAAUAUAAAAAACUAGUUCCUUCUAAUAUUAAUUCUUUAAUGAAUCCAGUUGUUUUAGCUUAUUUGAUAAUGUCUGAUGGUAAUUUCGAUAAAUCUAGAAAUAGAAUCAGAAUUUAUACCAAUAGUUAUUCAAAAGUAGAAGUAGAAAGAUUAGCUAAAUCUAUUCAAUCUAAUUUAGAUAUUUAUGUUGGUGUAAUGCAUGAUAGAAAGGACCAAUGGAUUUUAACAAUAGGUGCACUACAAUUAGAUAAAUUAAGAGAUAUCGUAAAAUCUCAUUUUGAACCUAGCAUGUUAUAUAGAAUCGGAAUUUAACUUAAUGAUUUAUACUACAUUAUUAUAUUAUAAUAAGCCCCCUUAUACCAACGUUGGUUUUAAGGAAAACCGGAUAAAUUGCAAGGAAAACUUUAAUUUUAAAGUCAAUUUGCAGCCAAAGCUUGAUAAAGUGAACCAUAUUAUAUAUAUUUGGAUUAUCAAGAAGGUUCAACGACUAACAGGUGAGUAUCACUAACAAUAAGCCUGACACGAAGAUCCGGCGUUAAUAAAAUAAAUUAACGAUGACAUAGUCUGAACAGUGGCGUGAGUUACUGAGAUAGAGUUUAAAUUACUCUAUGAUAACAAAAUUGUUAAUACGACGUGAGUCAGUAUGGUCCCUAUCUUCUGGAGGGAUAAAUAGUAAAAAGGGGCAGACCUUCUAGUACGAAAGGAUCAAUAGGCUGUGUUUCUCUAGUGUACCAAUUGUAAUUCUCUAUUUUUUAAAUUUUAAAAAGAUUAAAGAAAGAUUAAAGCAUAGUUGGGUAGCCACAAACAUGAUAGAUAAGCGCUGAAUGAAUAUUAAGCAGGAAGCUAUCCCCUAGAUACUAUCUUAUUGAUUUUCUAUUUAAUUAAAUUAUUAAUUAUCUAUUAAAUCAAUGUGAAUAAGAAAUAGAACAUUUCUAAAUAGGAUGCAAAUGUAAGUCUUGUAAAAC